CAGCUGUACGAAGAAUCCUCUAACACUUGUCCAAGAAACCCUAGGCGUCCUCGCCCUCUGUACCACUGAAAGUCAGAGGCUAAAGUCUAUCAAACCUCUCCAAUCUACGUAGCUCAUCAUCAGGCAUGACUGGUACACAUAAUCCUGAGCAGGUGCAACCGGCUGGGCUGGUGGUGCCUCCGGUGUCUGAAGUCCCUGAGCAACCUACUCGUGUGUACGAGCGGCGGGAGUUUGAGUACCUACCCCGGCAUAAGAAGUAGCUGCGAUAGCAAAAAUGGAGACCGCCUGAGACUGGUGCACGUGGUCAAAAUCUGAGCUAAGGUCUCCUAAAGACCUGGAAUAACAAUAGGCAUAGCUGGUGCCUGAGCUGGUCCUGCUAGAGCAUCCACAACUGGGACCUGAUCAUGAACUGGUGCGACUGGUGGAUCUGUAGGUUCUUCCCUAGCUGGUGUGCGAGCUACACCCCUACCUCUACCACGGCCUCGACCGCGACCUCGGCCUCUAGUGGCCCCAACUGGUGGUACUAGUGGCCCUCCAUCCUGACCGGUAGCAUAUGUCCUCACCAUCUGUGAGAUAAUAGAAUAACAUAAGUUUAGUUACCAGAAUCAACAUAUUUGCACAACAAGGAUUUUAGAAUGUGAAAUUUUCCUAAAGGUUCUGCAGCCUUUCGAAGAUAAAUAUAGACGUCUCCGUACCGAUCUGCAAGACUCUACUAAAUCUGCUCAUGACUCGUGAGACCUAUGUAACCUAGGCUCUGAUACCAACUUGUCACGAUCCAAAACCAACACGGUCAUGAUGGUGCCUAUCAUGGAACUAGGCUAGCCGACACAUUCCCAAAAUAAUUCGAUAUUUCAUUAAAAGCUAGAUAAUAACCUUUUUCAUAUUGAAAAUCCAUAAAAAAGAUUAAUUUGAAAACCAAAAUGCAGAAAUAAAAGACCGACCUCGGGUGUCACUAAGUCAUGAGCAAAUACUACAACUGUUCUGAAAUAUAACAAGACUAACAUAGUCUGAGAGUAGCCAAAAGUACACUAAAAGGAAGAUAAAGAAGGAGAAAGUCGGGACUGCGAUCACCAGGAAGCUACCUCGCUAUCUUCGAUAAAAGUCCGCGACUGGAAUAGUCAACAGCUGCUACCGUGGCCUGAGAUACCUG
rnacentral:lncRNA from 1 species